rfam:Ralstonia solanacearum GMI1000 chromosome complete sequence
GCCAUCCAUCCGGGAGAGCGCGUCGGCCGCAUACGGCCAGUCGCCGCCGAAGGGGUAGCACCCGAAAACUCUCAGGCAUCCAGGACCGGGUGGAUCGG